ensembl:lncRNA
GUGUCCUGCUCACUCAGCUCCGGUGCCCCUUAUUGAAGAAGCCCCCCCCCUUCCUGCUCUCACUCCCCUCCUCUCUCCCGCAAUGCACUUUUGAAUCCACACCCUCAAAAAAAGCUGGCCCAAUUUCUCCUGUGUACAUCUUCCUUCUUCACAAGUGUACAUAUCUGGCCUCUCCAGGGCUGAGCUGCUGGAUCUCACGGGGUCCCUCUCUCCCUCCCUCCCUCCCUCCCCACCCCAAAGCCCCCUCACCCUCUAUCUCCAACCCACCCACCCCCCCACCUUGGCCUCCCCUCCUGUAAAUAUUUGUAACAUAUGGACAAAAGAAGAAGAAAAAAAGCUAUACUUCAGAAUCUAUUUAAAAUGUGAAGGCAUCUUUGCUUCGGGGGGGGGAGGGAGGUGCAUGGGUUUUAAUUUCGGAGCCACGCCCACCGUCGUCAUGUAUUUAAGCCCCGCCCACCCUGCCACGUCCCCCCUCCCCCUUCCAUCUGUCAUUUCUACAGUUUUUUGCAUGAGUUUUCAUUUGUUUGUACAAAUUUACAUUAAACCGCCAAAAAAAAACCAAAAAACGUGUGUGUGUGUGUGUGUGGGGGGGAAUAUGGGGCUGGGUGAUUAAAGCCUGAAAUGGCUGAGGGCCUCAAUACCUUAAGGACCCCCUCUCCCCAUACGUAGCACCCCAGAUCCUGCACUCUUCUACAGCCCCUCCACCCCAGAGGGCGGCAACAAGAGAGCAGGGCCUUUUCGGUGGUGGCUCCCAUGCUCUCCAGAGAGCCUCGCCUGGCGCCUUCGUUACAUAUAUUUAGACACCAGGCAAAAACAUUUCUCUUCAGAAGAAUGGCAGGUGAAGAUGAUGGAUUUUUCGGAGCUGGCCGACCUGACCGGAAGAGUCCGCGACCAGGAGGAGGAGGAGUGGAUUAAAUUUAAUGAUUACCUAGUUAAAUAUGUUAAGUUAAACGAACUGAAAACAGCUUGCAGAUACCGAAUUGGCUUAGGAUUUUAUUUAUGCUAAAUGAUGAAUUAAUAUGUUUAAUUUCAUAUCUAAUAUUUCAGAUCUAAGGAUGUUAAUGUUUCAGUUAAAUUUUAUAAGAACUGUGAUUUGGAAAACCGUUAAAAGGACAUGCAAUGAAAUUCAAGCAAGGGGAAGCGAGGAAGUCACUUAACAAUGUUAAUAAGUGUAAUUUUCAAUAAGGCUAUGAUUUAUGUUUGUUUGUAUUGUGUAUUUGUUUACAAUGUUGUGAAAACCAAUACAUUUUUUUUAAUCUAUGGCCUGUUAGAGCUGGGGACUGUUAUUAAGAUUAUUUUAUUAUUAGGCUUCAUUAUGUGCACUAUGUUUUAUUAUUUGCGCUCUGCAAAAUGUGUUCUUAAUGUUGUACACCGACCUGGGAUCGUUUGAUAAAGGGCAGUAUAUAAAUGGAAUAUAUUAUUAAUAUUAUUAUUAUUAUUAUUAUUAUUAUUAUUAUUAUUAGGUGGCCAGGGCAACAGCCUUGUCCCCCAAUCUACCCACUCCAUAUUUCUCCCAGGCAACUGUCAUUCUGUGGCCGGCCGCCUCUGAAGCAGGAAGUAAUACAAAGGCAAUUAAUUUAUAAUUAUUAAUCAAUCAAUCAAUCUGUUGUGGCAAGCAGCAGCCUUGGGUAGAGGCCCAUGAGACUGGUGUAAGUCACCUUUAAAAGCCCCCAAAGCAAGCCAGUGAGCAACACCCACGUCAUGUGUCGGGGAGUUCCACAGGCUAAGCAGAGCACAAAGGCCUCAGAGAGGGAGGAAAACGCCUCUUUUUGUGCUACUCCUGCAUGGUUUUCCCCACUCCAGUCUCCGAAGCCAAAAUGCCGGUCAUCCGAGGGGAGACCCCCACCCUAAUUCUGUCCAGGGAUCUUGGCCCUGCCAAGGUG